rnacentral:rRNA from 1 species
UACGAAGGGGGCUAGCGUUGUUCGGAAUUACUGGGCGUAAAGCGCACGUAGGCGGACAUUUAAGUCAGGGGUGAAAUCCCAGAGCUCAACUCUGGAACUGCCUUUGAUACUGGGUGUCUUGAGUAUGGAAGAGGUGAGUGGAAUUCCGAGUGUAGAGGUGAAAAUUCGUAGAUAUUCGGAGGAACACCAGUGGCGAAGGCGGCUCACUGGUCCAUUACUG